GAGUGUGUGUGUGCGACGUGGCACAUUGACACACUUUCCAUCCACAAACUUUAAAAAUAAGGUUGAGAUUUCACAUUCUUCUUCCUUCUCUUUUCCAGAGAUUUGGAAGAACAUGACCUGAAAGUCUCCUUCAACGAACUAUGACAAAUAAAAUGAUGGCCAUAAUGAGCCUCAGAGGAAGAAGUUGGAAGGUUGCCUUCAUGAAGACUCAUCUCUACAAGAUAAUCUGUGACGCUGUCUUGAGCUCAUAUGAUAAAACUACAACAAAG